rnacentral:lncRNA from 1 species
CGCUCUUCCUUCUGAGACUCAGGCCGCCGUGCCCAGGGACGAGCCCUUCCCCUCCCGGAGCAACUUCCUGCGGUUGGAGAACACUCUAGAGAGCCCUGGAGACCGCUGGUCUCCACCCAGGCUCCGGCUCCACUCUCAAGUUGCAGGGAGUGGCUUGAAGCAUCAGCAGGCUGUGCCUUCUGCCCGGGGACAGCAGGGAGGGUCAGGGCAGCUGUGCUGGCCGUCAGGAGUCGGGGUGGUCCGGGCCUGCGUCCCAGGGGAUGACGGCGGAGCACCGCACAUAGCUGGUCUCUGUUUGAUCCGAAUCCACACCCCGGGGGUUGGAACGCCCAGCUGCAUGUCACCUCACAGCGACAUCAGGCAGAAAGAAUUCAAACGCUGUCCCUGCCAGUCAGCCGGUGCCUCUACCCUCUGUGAGGAAAGCCGAGACGGCAUUCACUUCAACUCGGAUGGAAUUUCUCUCCAGGUUUGUUGCUGUAUUUACUUGCAGUAACCAAGGCUUUAAAACUUUGGUGAUGCAAUCUUUUCUGUUGUGCCUCUCAUUUUUAAAUACGAGCUUAUAUGGCAAAGCAAUUAGGUCAUUUUUGUUUCAGCUUCUGACUUACUUCUCUGACCCCGACAUGUUGCCACAGUCACUCAACUAGAUUGAGAAGCAACCUGACCUGAAUCACCUUUUUCACCAAAUAGUCACUAGCUUCCCUGUGCUGUGAUUUACCAGCAUGAUGAGAGUCAAGCUGAAGUUUAUUCAGGGGAAGGCGGAACGCAACCUUCCCGCCCCUCCCCAGUAGACUGAGCUCAGCCGGAGGCCACGAUACCAUGGCAACUUCCCUUUCAGUGACAUUAUUUCUAAUAAAUGACUGCCCCGUGGUUUACGGGGUGUUUCUACCCCCCACCCCCAGCAAAGCCAGCAGGGUUUGGGAGCAGGGCUAUUUCCUGUCCCCUCUACCCACUGGUUUCUGCUUCACCAUGAAAGAUCAGAAAAGUAUUUGAUGUUGGUUCUUGGAAUAGCAAUCAGUUAAUUAAAAUCCGAGUGUUUGGCCAAACUGAACGCAAACAGCACGGCUCUGGCAGCAGGCUGGUGUCAGAAAGUCGGGCAGGAAGCAGCACCCAUGGGGCAGAAACACAGGAAAUUCCUCUUGUCGGCCAGCUCUCCAUCUUUGGCCAGAAUAUAGGGCAUGGCCAUUGGAGGAGACAGAAAUACAGCCACCGUUCUUCUUUCCUUCUGGCUGAACACCCCGACUCUUCCAGCAGCCAGUCUCGCCACCUGAAAGACUCCGAGGAGGAGCUGAAACCAGCCUGCUCAGCUUUCCCCCCGAUUAGUCUUUCAGGUGUCAGGUCUGUCUUGCUAAGCCCCACGAUGCAGCCAAAGAGACCAAGGGAUAAAAAGAGAGCAGGAGAUCUGAGUGAUCCUUGCGUUUGACUGGUAGCACUACCCAGGGGCUGGCGAUAUAGCUCAGUGGCACAAGCACCUACCUGAGAGUGCUACCCUUCAAGAGACCUUCAUCUUGUGCCGAGAAGAGAGGUGUGAGCAGUGUUUGAGAUGGAAGACCACGGUCACCAUAUUUUGCCUUCUAAGAGACUCUUCCGUUGGAGGUCCUGCCCUGGUGGCUGGGUUGACUACCGCAUGCCAUCAAGUCUGGGACCAGCCAGGAGGAAGCAUCUCCUGGCUACUUGGGAGAUCCUGGAGGGAAAUGGACUUUUCUCUCUGCUUGUCCAUGUUAUGCCAAUCAAAGAUAUUUAAGUGGGAUAUACAGCAGCAAAUCUAGAUGCAGAGCACCAUGAUUACUGGAUGAGCACGUAAGGAUAUUCAGGAUGUCUAGCAGCAAGAGGAUGAUGAGGUUACCACUCACCCACCAUUGCUGGACACCCAGCAAGUCUGCUGUAGGCUUCACGGCACAGGUUUACGGCAUUCACGCUAAGAACAUGCAUCUUUCCGUUGAGUGUGCUUGCAUCUUGUGAGGCUCAGAGACAAGUCGCUCCUUAUUAGAUGGGGCUGGUAAACACAGCCUGUGCCUUGGCAGAAAUAAUCUGAACAUGUUUCCCGCAAUUUGCAAGAUGUACUUCCACGUGUGUGUAGAAGGUUUAUUUAAUUUUUUGCAUACCUGAAUAUUUUCAGUGCACUCAAAUUGUCUAUUGCAAUUGGCCAGGAGGCCAGUUCUAAGUGAUCUACAAGUCCGAGUGUUAACUGUGUAUCUGGAACAGGACCCCAAUCUCCUGUGUUCAAGGUAUAAAUAUUGUUGUCCCCAUUAAAGAACUGACUGCAGCAAAACAGGUGGACGAUGAGUUUGAAGGUCACUGAUGCAGGCGGUGAAGGGAGACAUGUUAUUUACACAGUGGACAUGCAUUUGUGCACUUGCGGGGACCAUGCUGAACUGGCUGCCUUGCAUUUCAUGACACGUAUGCAGUAAGCAGUAAAAUUCAACAAGUUUGUCUUGCAAUUCAAAGGAAGUUACUUGCUCACUUUAACCUCUGUAGUUCUCUUUGAUGUUCAGAUAACUGAAAGAGUGACAUGGAGGAAUAAAAUGAUUUUACAGCUAGGAGAGGCUGUAUAUAUGUUUAACUCCGUAUGCUUUUCUAGGCGAACAGUGUGAGGUCUGGAGCAGUGGGGAAAUGGUCCAUAGAACACGCAAAGGGAAGAGGAUGGGAACAGGGAAAUACAGUCCUCUUUUCGCAAAUUGUCAGCCUGGCGCUCCCCACUGACUCCUUCUCUUCCAUUUAUCAUUACUGCCAAACUCCCUUCACAGUUCAAAGAGGUAAAUAAUUAAAUACCAAACUCCCACAACCCCAGACACCCACUUCCCUGCAGAAGGCUCCUCGUAACCACCCCAACUCUUCUGCAGAGCCACACAUUCCCAAGCAGCUGAGGUUGGGUCUCCUACACGGUUCCCAGUCUGCACCGGUUAUAGCUGGGGCCCACUGCAAUCCCUGAGAAGGUUCACUGUGUUGAAAGUUUGGCUGCCGGUGGGGUGUUGAAGGUGACGGGUCGCUGAUCCACUAGAGAGGUACAAUUUGACGCUAUUACUGGGGGUGAUGGAAGCAAGACUCGGGGUUGCCUGAAGAGAGUGUGUGUAUGUGUAUCACAGCAUUUAGACAAGGUAAGAUGUCUCUCCUCAGGAGGGGAACUGGACUUUUAGGCAUCAUUAGACAGGAAUGAGUGAAGAGGAACCAGCUCAGUUAUAGCAUGAGGGCUGUGAGAAAGAGUGAGCUGUUUAUACUUUUUAGUGGCUUUUUAUCAAAGUAUGACAGCUGGAAGGGAGGCCAGGGUUGGAAAGAAAGACUGAGAGACACGUGCCAGCUGGCAAUAGGCAGUUGUUUCUUUUCUCCAUAGUCCUGAUUUUCUGGGGCUCGUCUGCGGAGAUGAUGGCCUGGCCAGAGGGAGAAGGCGGACAGCGCCCCAGAGCACUUUAGUUUUGUGGGGCUAACUGGUAAGAUGGGUCUGACCUCUGCCACUUUUGUCUCAGGGGCAGUCUGAGUUUUAGUGGUCACUUUUUUUUUUUUUUUUCCUGUACCAGGAAUCGAGCUCACAACCUCGCGCUUGCCAGGCAGGCAUUGUGCUGCUGAGCUAAAUCCCCAGCCCCUAGUGGUCACUUCUGCAAUCAGGGCAUGGCGUAGGGGACCUCUUGUCAUGUUGGUUUUUACUGUAGUCUUUUUAAAGGUGGCCUGGCUUUUUGUAGUGGUGAGUUUAGUCAUUCAGCUUUUUGGGAGCCCCAAGAAUCAGACACAGAGUUUAAUUGUUUAAGGUUGUAACUGAGGCAGCCACUUGUUCUUGGUCUUUUUUUUUUUUUUUUUCUCUUUGGUCUAUUUUUGGUCUUGAUUAUAAACUGUGGAGACAUCAAUUUUUAUUAAAGUAUUGAUUGAGCUAUUUGGAGUAAAAACCAUCUUCUGUAGCUUUUUUUAAAUGUUGGAGGCUGACUGGGUAAUAAACUUGUUUUUAACAAUAACGUGUCUUUUUAUUGAAUCAGGAGCUAGAGACGUAUGAUUUAUCAGUGUCUCUUAUAAAUGAUCUAAGAAGACAGAGAGGUUUUUGUCUUUUUUUAAUGAAUAGUUGACAAUUUAAAAUAACUGAAGACUUUGUUUUUAUCUUUCUUUAGAUGUUUGGUUGAGAUAGGUCAGUAGCCAUCCUGUGCAGGGACUCUUGGGCUGUAGUAGGAGCUGGCUGUUUUGUCUUUGUUUUUGUUUUUUGCCUGUCUCACUUUGGGCCUUUUAAAAUUAACAA